UGAGUAGCAAGAACCCAGAGGAGUGUGUGGGUGGGGGCGAGGCAGACAUAAAGGCGUGUAUGGUACAGUCCCUGCCCUCAAGAAGGUUAAACUAGUAGGAAAGGUUAAGACAAGGACACAAAUAACAAUAUUGUGAGGGAACACAGAUGUCACGAUCUAUAGAGGUGCACACGCAGAACAACUCAUAGGUACGGAGUGGCAGCUAGGGUAGGACAGUGUACCCCCAGAGCUUUGGGAGAGACAAGUAGGAUGAUGCAGCCCCAGCUCCUACCUGCAGGGCACUUGGAAGCUGCGGGGGAAGACCAAUGGAUACACAGAAAAACCCCAGUGCUGGCACAAGUUUCCGAAAGAAGUUCUCAGGAGGGCUGUUGGGACAGGAAGGGGGAAGGCCCAAGAACGAGUACAGGAAGUGAACACUAGGAGCACCGGGUCACAGACUGGACGAAUGGAGCGAAUGAUGCAGCUCAUUAGGACGGGGACACAGGGGCCCCAGGCCUCUGUUGCCAAGUUCUGUUUCCACAGUCUCACCAUGGGGACUGUGGAUGGGCCAGUCACCUCCCCACUAGCAUAAUUGGAAAGACUCUAAGGGGCCCAGCAAUGCUAAAGUGCUGUAAAGUAGUGGUGUUCAAUUCUGAUGAACAUUAAAGGGAGUGUGUAGUUAAUUCCUCCGCACAUGCUGGUCACAAAGUCUUCCCACUGGGGGCUUUCGGCUUGGAGCAUUACAGGCCCAUUUGUUCUGCCUGGCUUCUCCAUCAGGGCAAGAGCCUCAAGGUGAGUUAAUAGGCUUGGCUUCGCAGCACUUUGUUGUAAUCAGUAUUUACCAUUGUCAUAUAUAUUUUAACAAGCCUCUGCUGCAUGGUGCACCAUUGAGCCCUGAACAAAACAGAGAAGAGUGGCAGGGCCCUGGUCUCCUUGUCAGAGGACAGCAACUGCAUCCAAGGGGGCAUUGAGGAUGCUCUUUCUUGCCCACUGGCUCAUGAUGCUGCUUGGUCCCCAUGUGGUUUACCAUCUGCCACAUGUCUUCGUAGGCUUUUGCUUCUUUAUACUGUCUUGGGCCACCUCCACCAGACUGGCAGGAGCAAAGGGAGGUCACAUCAAUGCAGUCUUACAACUGCAACCACUUACAUUGGAACCACUGCCUAUCUGAGUACCUCCGUCUUCACCCCCUUUCUUCCUCAAGCACUUUCCCUUUGGCCUGCAAUGCAAAAAUACUGCUGAUGGUGGCUCUACAUGAGAUAAUAAUCUUAAAUAGAUGAUACUUACAUGGAUAAUAGGAUAAAGUAAAACAGGAUGGGCAAAUUGAUAAUUGCAGAUUAGAAGGAAAUAUAAUUAGCAACCCAAACAAAAGCCAAAUUUAGGGGGGUAAUAAGCAUGAUGUGUUAGAAUUGUUAAGAAUGAGAUAUUUUCAUAUGUCUUUAUCCCUGAGGUUAAAAACCUAAGCAGCCUCUGUGUGUGUUGUGGAAGUGUAUCUGAUACGGUGUGUUCUAUUUGUUUGUUUCAAUAUUUCACAUUUUAAAAGCAGAAGAAGCUAUUAUUAUGGAGAUUUUGUCCUGUAGCUUUGGGAACUAACAACGGGGAAAAUGUCAUCAUAGGUUAUAAUAUUGCCCUGGACGAUUGCAGGACAAGCCACUGGCCUGAAUUCUUGUUAUUAUUUUAAUUUGUAUAUAAACUUUGUCAGAUAUCCAGGCAUAUUUUAAAAAUGCAAACUAAUAGCCAUCAGCAUCUAAUGUUCCUGAGACAAAUAUGAUGAUGACAAGGUGCUAUUAAAGGCCAUGUUUGCACUAUCAAAAUAAUGAGACAGUGGCCCUGGCUGCCUGAUCAUUCCAGCUAUCUUUUAGUCCAUUUGAACUGUCACUUGGACAACACGAUAGACAGGUCUGGGAUUAGCUGUUUCUAAAACUAGAAAAUGUCACAUUUUUUUCUUUUUUGGUGAAUGCAAGAUGGUACUAGCUUCUUUGUGUCCCACAAGUGCUGACUGGGUGCUGGGAUGUGCCCACGAAGUACAUUUUCCCUGGCUUGAGGCCCAUGACUACGGAUUCUAUGACUAUCCAGGGUGGUGAAUUCUAGGC
ensembl:lncRNA